rnacentral:rRNA from 1 species
UACGUAGGGUGCGAGCGUUGUCCGGAAUUAUUGGGCGUAAAGAGCUUGUAGGCGGUCUGUCGCGUCUGCUGUGAAAAUCCGGGGCUCAACCCCGGACUUGCAGUGGAUACGGGCGGGCUGGAGUUCGGUAGGGGAGACUGGAAUUCCUGGUGUAGCGGUGAAAUGCGCAGAUAUCGGCAGGAACACCCAGGGGGAAACCAGUCGACUGGGCAUCUACUGACGCUGAGGUGCGAGAGCGUGGGGAGCGAACAGG